UUUUAGGGUCUUUUGAGGAUCCAUCCACCCUCAUGGAUGCCAGUCAGAUUCAUUUCCACUGAGCCACGAUGGUAACUCCUGUGAUAUUUUUAGGUAAUGUAUUUCACUAGUCCAUUUUACUAAUAUUUAUUGAAAACUAGGAGUUCCAUAUUGGUGCAGCAGAAACGAAUCCCACUAGGAACCAUGAGGUUGCAGGCUGGACCCCUGGCCUUGCUCAGUGGAUUAAGAAUCUGGCGUUGUUACGAGCUGUGGUGUAGGUUGCAGACGCAGCUCAGAUCUGGCAUUGCUGUGGCUUUGGCAUAGGCCAGCAGCAACAGCUCUGAUUAGACUCCUAGCCUGGGAACCUCCAUAUACCACAGGUGCAGCUUUAAGAAGACAAAAGACAAAAAAAAAAAGAAAAAAAAAAAGAAAACUACUUUAUGCCAGAAAUUCUUCAAAGCACCUAGGGAUCCAUCAGCAGACAAACAGGUGAGGAUCUCCACCCUCUUGGAGCUUGAGUAUCCUACACUAGAGCAGUGUAUUAGAGUAAGGGAAGUGUGUGGGGAAAAGAAAACAGAGCAAGUUAAGAGGAUUGAGAGUGCUUAGAAAUGGGGUCCAGAUCCCAGUUUCCACUAGAAUGAUCAUAAGAUGAACAAAUAAUAAAUUAAUCAUUCUGAUAAUGCUUAUGGCAUGUGGAAGUUCCCAGGCCGGGAAUCAAACCUGUGCCACAAAAGUGACCCAAGCUGCUACAGUGACAAUGCUGGGUCCUAAACCCGCUGUGCCACAAGGGGAAUCCAGGAGGGUGAUAAAUCUUAAAGGGUUCUAAGAUCCUUGUAUUUUCCAUAAAGAAGGUAAAAAUACCAAGUAAUAUUCAAGUUUGUAAGUCAAAGAUCUCUGGGACCAGUAACGAAAGUAAAGAUAAUAAAUAACUAACGAGGCAAAUGGCAACAAGGGAAUAUAUAUAAUAAAUAAUACAAAUCAAUCCAAAAGAAGCCAGAGAAGGAAAAAAAACCCUGGAAACACUGCAGGAAUCUAUGACAAAUCCUAUAUGGAAUUAAAUUAUAGGUAGAGCAGAGUAAAUGGUCUAGAGACAUCUAAAACCAAAAAGUCUCUGGUAGGGCAUCAGAAGUAUUUUGUACAAGGAUCAGAUGUCUAAAUACAAAUUAACUCAAUUCCUAAUUAAACUACAGUUUAUCUUAAUGUUCUCCUGAGGCAAAAAUAAGUCUUCACCUAAAGAAAAAAAAAUGUAUCCAGAACCUCAAAUAAUCACUAUAUUUAUUUACAGUAUAACACUACAAACAUUUUUAAAAAAAAAAAAGAAAGGAAAAAUUUAGGAAUGGCAAUGACUUUUAAGAUGCCAUACUACAGGCAUGAUCCGUGAGAUAAGUAACUGAUAAGCUCUACUACAUUAAAAUUAAAAGUUUCUGCUCUGCAAAAGGCAAAUGUAAGAGAAUGUGAAAACAAUCCACAGACUGGGAAAAAAUAUUUGCAAAACAUACAACUGAUAAAGGAAUAUUAUCCAAAAUAUACAAAGAACACUUAAGACUCAGUAAUAAGAAAACAAACAAUUUGAUUUAAAAAUGACCCAAAGAGAACUAUAUCUAGAUACUCAUGUUGCAACAGAAGAAAGGGUGGGGGAAAAAAACUGUAAUUGCAAUGUAUACAUGUAAGGAUAACCUGACCCCCUUGCUGUACAGUGGGAAAAUAAAAAAAAAAAAAAGAAAAAAAAUGACCCAAAGACCUUAACAGACACCUCACGAAAGAUGAUAAACAGACAACAAAUAAGCAUAAGAAAAGAUGCUCCAUACCAUAUAUCAUCAGGGAAAUGCAAAUUAAAAUAUAAUGUGAUAUAAUGCACCUAUGAGAAUGGCCAAAAUCCAGAAAACUGACAACAUCUAAUGCUCGUGAAAGUGUGAAGUGACAAGAACUCUUUAAAAAAAAAAAAAAAAAGUCUCUUCAUUGCUUGCUGGUAGGAAUGAAAAACAGUGCAGUCAAUUUAGAAGAUAUGCUUUAGCUAUUUCUUACAAAACAUAUUCUUACAUACGAUCCAAAAAUCAUUUUCCUUGGUAUUUAUCCAAAAGAACUGAAAUGUAAUAUUCACACAAAAAUACACAUGUGUAUGUUUAUGGAGCUUUAUUUAUAAUUGCCAAAAUGUGGAAGCAACCAAGAUGUCCUUCAGGAGAUGAAUGGAUAAAUAAACUGUGACACAUCCAGACAAUGGAAUAUUAUUGAGUGCUAAAAAUAAAGGAGCUAUCAAGCCAUGAAAAGACAUGAUGAAAGAUAAGAGAGAUGUAUAUAUAAUUAUAGUUAUGGAAAGAGAAAAGAAUAAAACAAUAUUUUAUAAAAAUGAUAGUGAGGAAUUUAAACCAUUUUCUCAAUAUUAAGAAAUGGUACCACAGAUUCAAGAAGGGUGGCAAAUCCAAAUUUUUGGAUAAUUACAUGAAGGAAGAGGAGGCAGAAGCAUACUGAGGCAUCAAUGGAGUGAAGUUAUUAAAAACCAUAAACCAAGAGAAUACCUUGAAGUGUCCAAGGAGGAUGGGGAGGAUACAUUUUCUCCAAGGGAGUUAUAAAAAGUCUGACAGCUGAUUUUACUAAGAGCACAGGGAAAUAGAUAACAAACAAAAUGCUCAAAGUGCUGAAUGAACAUUACUACCAACCUAGAUUUCUAUACCCAGGGAUUAUAUUUUAAAAGUGGAAAUGAAGUAAAAGCAUAUUUAUAAAAACAAACAAAAAAACAAAAAACUAGGUCAAUUUUUUUACCAACACAAUUGCACUAUGUAGCAACUGAAGGAAAAAGAAUCUGACACACCAAAGGAAAAUGCUUUUAAAGGACAGGGGCACCUAAAGGAAUUAAGGGUAAAUGAGAGUGUUAAAAAUGUGAGCAAAUCUAAAAGAAUGGGACUUUAUGAAGCAACAACAACAACAAUGUCUUACAGGGCUAAAGUACAUUUAGAAAUAAAAUCUAUGCCAACGAUAUUACAAAAAGUAGGAGAAGCUCCAAGGUCCUCGCAUUGUUAGAAAAUGAUAAAAAUUACUAAUAUAUGUUAGACUUUGAAUCUAGGAAGCAUGUUAAAAUCAUUAGAAAUGGCUAGUAAUAGAAAAUUUAAAAAAAAGAAGUG
rnacentral:lncRNA from 1 species